CGGUGUUCUGAUCCCAGAAGGACAUGCUCCUCCCCUAGCCUGCUGUGAAGGCUUAUGUGUUCCUCUACCUCAGAAUCCCCUUAGUUGGACUCCUUGGGCCUCACCAGAAAGACCUCUAUCCUUUGCCAACUCCUGACUUUGGCACCUUGCAUUUGGUGACUGUCUAGCACAGGAGGUUAGGUAGGCAGAGAUCCUGACUGGUAGGCCUGAGGCCGCUCUGCCUGUGGCCUGACAUGCUCUCUGUCCUGCUCUAGAUCAAUGGCAUUGCACUGGACAACAAGUCUCUGAAUGAAUGUGAAUCUCUGCUGCGCAGCUGCCAGGACUCCCUGACCCUGUCCCUCCUGAAGGUAUUCCCUCAGAGCUCCUCGUGGAGUGGCCAGAACAUUUUUGAAAAUAUCAAAGACUCUGAUAAGAUGCUGAGUUUUCGAGCCCAUGGCCCGGAGGUCCAGGCUCAUAACAAACGGAACUUGAUACAGCACAAUAACUCCACGCAGACAGACAUCUUCUACACGGACAGGCUGGAAGACAGGAAGGAGCCAGGCCCCCCAGGAGGCAGCAGCUCCUUUCUGCAUAAGCCAUUCCCUGGGGGACCCUUGCAGGUCUGCCCCCAGGCCUGUCCCAGUGCCUCUGAGCGUAGCCUGAGCUCCUUCCGCUCAGAUGCCUCUGG
rnacentral:lncRNA from 10 species